rnacentral:rRNA from 1 species
GACGAACGCUGGCGGCAUGCCUAAUACAUGCAAGUCGAGCGAACAGAUGAAGUGCUUGCACUUCUGACGUUAGCGGCGAACGGGUGAGUAACACGUAAGGAAUCUACCUAUAAGCGGGGGAUAACAUUCGGAAACGGGUGCUAAUACCGCAUGAUAUCUUCUUCCGCAUGGAAGAAGAUUGAAAGACGGCUCUGCUGUCACUUAUAGAUGACCUUGCGGUGCAUUAGUUAGUUGGUGGGGUAAUGGCCUACCAAGACGAUGAUGCAUAGCCGACCUGAGAGGGUGAUCGGCAACAUUGGGACUGAGACACGGCCCAAACUCCUACGGGAGGCAGCAGUAGGGAAUCUUCCGCAAUGGGCGAAAGCCUGACGGAGCAAUGCCGCGUGAGUGAAGAAGGCCUUCGGGUCGUAAAACUCUGUUAUAAGAGAAGAACAAAUUGUAGAGUAACUGCUACAGUCUUGACGGUAUCUUAUCAGAAAGCCACGGCUAACUACGUGCCAGCAGCCGCCGUAA